UUGCCACCUUCAAUGUUCCACAAGGCAUCUUUAAUCAUGAAUCUCAAUGUCUUGAUAGUCUUAUUGAUAUAUUUAACAGGAAAUCAAUAUGCAUGAAUUCAGGCUCUGCAGGUGACCUUAGUGGAAGACAAAAUUUCUAAGCAGACAGAUUCAGAGUGGAAGGACAAAUGAAAUAAGAGCUUGGGCUCCAUAACCAGACCAAUACAGGCCUUCGGUACCUGCAAAAGUACACAGAGCUAGCUGGCUGCUGUGGCCCCUGCAGCCCCACCUGCUCUACAGCUUUGCAGGUAUGAAGAUGAGGGCUUGAUCUCUGAGCUGCUGAUUCUAAGUCUCGUGUGCUGUGUUGUCCAUGAUAGAGCAGAUCCUCCAUGGGGCUGAACUGCCUCAGUCAUUUCCACCUGCUGACAUCAGAACCCUGAAAUUGUAUGUAAAGGCAGACGGCAAAAGGAGCUGAUGAAAACAUUUGUCUUUUAUUCCCUCAAGGAGUGCUCACACCCCUAGCUCCCUCACUCGGCAGGGGCUUCCAGAAUGUAC